UAACACAUGGGUACCUGCCUUUCAGUGAGGAAUACCGGCGAGAAAUCGCCGACAAGACCGCAUAGGCUUCCUUCGGUAGCCCGAGGGAAGCAAAGUUACUUCGCGAGAGGUGACGCUGGAAGAGGGGCCUGUGGCCGAUUAGCUAGUUGGGGGGGUAACGGCCUCCCAAGGCGACGAUCGGUAGCUGGUCUGAGAGGACGAUCAGCCACACUGGGAUUGAGAACGGCCCAG
rnacentral:rRNA from 1 species